CAAAAAGUAGUUUAUUUAAAAUUAUAAUUUUGGAUAUUAUAGAAAGAUUUGUCUCUUUUUGA
rnacentral:tRNA from 1 species